GAUGAACGCUGGCGGCGUGCCUAAUACAUGCAAGUCGAGCGAACGGACGAGAAGCUUGCUUCUCUGAUGUUAGCGGCGGACGGGUGAGUAACACGUGGAUAACCUACCUAUAAGACUGGGAUAACUUCGGGAAACCGUAGCUAAUACCGGAUAAUAUUUUGAACCGCAUGGUUCAAAAGUGAAAGACGGUCUUGCUGUCACUUAUAGAUGGAUCCGCGCUGCAUUAGCUAGUUGGUAAGGUAACGGCUUACCAAGGCAACGAUGCAUAGCCGACCUGAGAGGGUGAUCGGCCACACUGGAACUGAGACACGGUCCAGACUCCUACGGGAGGCAGCAGUAGGGAAUCUUCCGCAAUGGGCGAAAGCCUGACGGAGCAACGCCGCGUGAGUGAUGAAGGUCUUCGGAUCGUAAAACUCUGUUAUUAGGGAAGAACAUAUGUGUAAGUAACUGUGCACAUCUUGACGGUACCUAAUCAGAAAGCCACGGCUAACUACGUGCCAGCAGCCGCGGUAAUACGUAGGUGGCAAGCGUUAUCCGGAAUUAUUGGGCGUAAAGCGCGCGUAGGCGGUUUUUUAAGUCUGAUGUGAAAGCCCACGGCUCAACCGUGGAGGGUCAUUGGAAACUGGAAAACUUGAGUGCAGAAGAGGAAAGUGGAAUUCCAUGUGUAGCGGUGAAAUGCGCAGAGAUAUGGAGGAACACCAGUGGCGAAGGCGACUUUCUGGUCUGUAACUGACGCUGAUGUGCGAAAGCGUGGGGAUCAAACAGGAUUAGAUACCCUGGUAGUCCACGCCGUAAACGAUGAGUGCUAAGUGUUAGGGGGUUUCCGCCCCUUAGUGCUGCAGCUAACGCAUUAAGCACUCCGCCUGGGGAGUACGACCGCAAGGUUGAAACUCAAAGGAAUUGACGGGGACCCGCACAAGCGGUGGAGCAUGUGGUUUAAUUCGAAGCAACGCGAAGAACCUUACCAAAUCUUGACAUCCUUUGACAACUCUAGAGAUAGAGCCUUCCCCUUCGGGGGACAAAGUGACAGGUGGUGCAUGGUUGUCGUCAGCUCGUGUCGUGAGAUGUUGGGUUAAGUCCCGCAACGAGCGCAACCCUUAAGCUUAGUUGCCAUCAUUAAGUUGGGCACUCUAAGUUGACUGCCGGUGACAAACCGGAGGAAGGUGGGGAUGACGUCAAAUCAUCAUGCCCCUUAUGAUUUGGGCUACACACGUGCUCCAAUGGACAAUACAAAGGGCAGCGAAACCGCGAGGUCAAGCAAAUCCCAUAAAGUUGUUCUCAGUUCGGAUUGUAGUCUGCAACUCGACUACAUGAAGCUGGAAUCGCUAGUAAUCGUAGAUCAGCAUGCUACGGUGAAUACGUUCCCGGGUCU
rnacentral:rRNA from 1 species